CUGCCUCAAGGUUGCCCCAUGGUCCUUCUCACUCUGUGGUUGAUUAGCCAGUGUGCUUUUAUGGCAAGGUUUUCAGCUGCUGUUUUGCCUUUUGGUUUGCUGUAGUUCCCCCCCCCCCCCUUUAGUGGAGCUGUUUGCUGGCCUUGGUGGGGGCUAGGCACUUUAGUGUGGUUCCCUUCACCGACUGUAGUGGAUAGAGCACUGGGACAUAUUUUACACCUAUUUGCUGUGAUUGCCAGUUGCUGUGCGCAUAUGUGUGAACACUUCCAGUCAUUCAUUAAUCAAUAAAUUAGUUUUCUUUUGGAACCA